rnacentral:rRNA from 1 species
CCUACGGGUGGCAGCAGUGAGGAAUAUUGGUCAAUGGGCGAGAGCCUGAACCAGCCAAGUCGCGUGAGGGAGUACUGCCCUAUGGGUUGUAAACCUCUUUUGUCGGGGAGCACAAGCCGGACGUGUCCGGCUGUGAGAGUACCCCAAGAAAACGCAUCGGCUAACUCCGUGCCAGCAGGCGCGGUAAUACGGAGGAUGCAAGCGUUAUUCGGAUUUAUUGGGUUUAAUGGGUGCGCAGGCGGAUUGUUAAGUCAGCGGGCAAAUCGUGGGGCUCAACCCCCUCCAGCCGUUGAAGCUGGUGAGCUAGAGUGUGCGAGGGGUAUGCGGAAUGCGUGGUGUAGCGGUGAAAUGCAUA